rnacentral:lncRNA from 1 species
AAAAUUCGUGAGAUUGGCCAAUUUUUGCAGCAUAACUGGCAUCUUUCAAGUCUCUCCAAACUAUGUUUCCGUCUUUGCACUUACAUUUUCUCCGAGUCUUUCUAAUAUUCGGGCUACCAUUUUGCCAAAAAAGCUCGAACUCGUGACUGCCUAUUUUCGCAUAUGAGCAUUUCGGUCUCCAACUAGUUCCUCCUAGUGGAGAGUAUUUUUCCGAGUGUGUCGUAGUGUUGUUUAUGUUUGGCGACAAAAAAAAAAAAAAAAAAAGUAAAGAGUGGUGAUGUAUAUGAUCAUCAAGUAGAAGAAGUGAAGAACCUCAUCGAGGCCACAUGGAA